CGUAAACAGAGGGAAGCGAGCCUGCGAGGGGGAGCGAAUCCCAAAAAUAACGUCCCAGUGCGGAUUGUAGUCUGCAACCCGACUACAUGAAGCUGGAAUCGCUAGUAAUCGCGGAUCAGAAUGCCGCGGUGAAUACGUUCCCGGGUCUUGUACACACCGCCCGUCACACCAUGGGAGUCGGAAAUGCCCGAAGUCUGUGACCCAACCUUAGGGAGGGAGCAGCCGAAGGCAGGUCGGAUGACUGGGGUGAAGUCGUAACAAGGUACC
rnacentral:rRNA from 1 species